UACGUAGGCAGCGAGCGUUGUUCGGAGUUACUGGGCGUAAAGAGUGCGUAGGCGGUUUUCUAAGUUUGGUGUGAAAUCUCCCGGCUUAACUGGGAGGGUGCGCCGAAGACUGGAAGGCUUGAGUAUGGGAGAGGUAAGCGGAAUUCCUGGUGUAGCGGUGGAAUGCGCAGAUAUCAGGAGGAACACCGGUGGCGAAGGCGGGUCUCUGGGGCCGAUACUGACGCUGAGGAGCGAAAGCGUGGGGAGCGAACAGG
rnacentral:rRNA from 1 species